UUCCCUGGUUAAAAAUAUCGAUUGAAAAGGAUUAAAAAUGAUCAAAUUUGAAUACUUUUGAAUACUUUCAAUUCUUUUUCAUGUAUAUAUAGAUAUACAGUUUACAUGGGGUGACUGAUUCCCAAUACUUUUCAAUCAAUAUUUUUAAUCAGGGAUUGAUGAUAAAAU